AUUGAACGCUGGCGGCAGGCCUAACACAUGCAAGUCGAGCGGUAACAGGGGUAGCUUGCUACCCGCUGACGAGCGGCGGACGGGUGAGUAAUGCCUAGGAAUCUGCCUAAUAGUGGGGGAUAGCCCGGAGAAAUCCGGAUUAAUACCGCAUACGUCCUACGGGAGAAAGUGGGGGAUCUUCGGACCUCACGCUAUUAGAUGAGCCUAGGUUGGAUUAGCUAGUUGGUGAGGUAAUGGCUCACCAAGGCGACGAUCCAUAGCUGGUCUGAGAGAAUGAUCAGCCACGCCGGAACUGAGACACGGUCCGGACUCCUACGGGAGGCAGCAGUGGGGAAUAUUGGACAAUGGGCGAAGCCUGAUCCAGCCAUGCCGCGUGUGUGAAGAAGGCCUCGGGUUGUAAAGCACUUUUAAGCAGAGAAGAAAAGCUGCCGGCUAAUAUCCGGUAGUGUUGACGGUACCUGCAGAAUAAGCACCGGCUAAUUCCGUGCCAGCAGCCGCGGUAAUACGGAAGGUGCAAGCGUUAAUCGGAUUUACUGGGCGUAAAGCGUGCGUAGGUGGUCGUGUAAGUCGGAUGUGAAAUCCCCGGGCUUAACCUGGGGAAUUGCACCCGAAACUACACGACUAGAAUGCGGUAGAGGGAAGUGGAAUUCCAGGUGUAGCGGUGAAAUGCGUAGAUAUCUGGAGGAACAUCAAUGGCGAAGGGCAACUUCCUGGGCCUGCAUUGACACUGAGGUACGAAAAGCGU
rnacentral:rRNA from 1 species